rnacentral:rRNA from 1 species
CAGCACCUCAAGUGGUCAGGAUGAUUAUUGGGCCUAAAGCAUCCGUAGCCGACGCUGUAAGUUUUCGGUUAAAUCUGUACGCUCAACGUACAGGCUGCCGGGAAUACUGCAGCGCUAGGGAGUGGGAGAGGUAGACGGUACUCGGUAGGAAGGGGUAAAAUCCUUUGAUCUAUUGAUGACCACCUGUGGCGAAGGCGGUCUACCAGAACACGUCCGACGGUGAGGGAUGAAAGCUGGGGGAGCAAACCGGAUUAGAUACCCGAGUAGUCC